ACAAGGUUUCCGUAGGUGAACCUGCGGAAGGAUCAUUGUCGAAACCUGCAAAGCAGAUACGACCCGCGAACAUGUUGUCGAAACCAGGGGUGCGUCGGGCCUUGGCACGGCGCUCCCCUGAGGGGGGCUGGGGCGGACCAGAGCGGUGGACUUGUUCCAUGCUCUGGUGCGUGCCGUCCUCCCAACGAACAAAACCCCGGCGUGAAUUGCGCCAAGGAAUCGGAAACGAAAAGAGAAGGGAGCGAGCCCCCUUUAGCGUGCCGGGAACGGAUUUCGCGAGGGUGGCCCGGUCUCUGUUCGAAAACAAAACGACUCUCGGCAACGGAUAUCUCGGCUCUCGCAUCGAUGAAGAACGUAGCGAAAUGCGAUACUUGGUGUGAAUUGCAGAAUCCCGUGAACCAUCGAGUUUUUGAACGCAAGUUGCGCCCGAAGCCUUCGGGCCGAGGGCACGCCUGCCUGGGUGUCAUGUACCGUCGCCCCAAUCCGACUCUCUUCGUGGGGGAUCGGAAGAGGGGCGGACAAUGGUCUCCCGUGCGCUCCCGCUCGCGGCUGGCCAAAACACGAGUCGUUGGCUGCAGUGCCACGGCAAGCGGUGGUUGAUAAGACCUUCGAAAAUUGCCACGGGCCAGGCCAGCAAAAGGCUCCGAGACCCUGUUACGUCCCGACAGCGACCCCAGUCAGGCGGGAUACCCGCUGAGUUUAAGCAUAUCAUAAGCGGAGGAAAGAAACUUACGAGGAUCCCCUAGUAACGGCGAGGGAACCGGGAGAGCCCAGCUUGAGAAUCGGGGCCCCGGCGUCCAAUUGUAUCUGGAAA
rnacentral:rRNA from 1 species